rfam:Triticum aestivum genome assembly, contig: Triticum_aestivum_CS42_TGACv1_scaffold_559165_7AL
GUUCUACUCCCUCCGUUCAGAAAUACUUGUCGGAGAAAUGCAUGUAUCUAGACAUAUCUUAAUUCUAGAGACAUUCUUUUUAUCGAUUUCUUCAACAAGUAUUUUCGGAUGGAGGGAGUACUUU